GAGAGAUACCCAAACACUCCACAUCAGUUUAUGAUGUAGCAAGACGAGACACAUUUACAAAUCUUGCGGAUAUAAGGGCUAAGGAAAUCGAUCUCUACUCAACUAAUCAAGAUUGCAUCAAGAUGCUUGUUGGAAACAAAGUUGAUAAGGAAAGUGGAAGGGUUGCCAUGAAGAAAGAGGGAAUUGAUUUUGCUCGGGAGUAUGGAUGUCUUUUCCUUGAAUGUAGUGCAAAAACUUGAAUUAAUGUACAGCAGUGUUUUGAAGAGCUUGUUUUAAAGGAACCUGCAUCAGAGAUACAGGACAAGAUUUUAUUUAUGUUUAAUAAUAUUUCAGCUUCAAAGAUGGAUGUGAAAGCAAAAGAAUUUACUGAUGUCCUGAAAGAGCAGUACUAUCCAUGGUUUGCUCAGUAUAUGGUGAUGAAAAGAGCAAGCAUUGAGCCAAAUUUUCAUGAGUUGUACUAGAAGUUCUUGGAGAAAGUUAAUUCAAGAAUGCUGAAUAAGGAGAUUGUCAAAGCUACUUAUGAGAAUUGCAAGGUGCCUUAGCAAAACUUUUUUGUUACCCCUGGUUGUCAUUGUCACCAUACACCUUUUCCAAUCUCCCAUAGACAUGGACGAAUGAGGUCCAGCCAGAGCUUCUACAAGGGAUCUUCAAGUACUUGGAAUGCACUUUUGUCGUCAGGAACGUCGAACAACAAUUCAAAUACACUGAGCUGCUUUCGACUCCUUUAAAAAACCAACCAUCCACUCUUUUUUUCAACUUCCACAAGAAGAAGAGUGGCUGUAAGCACGCCAAUGACUACUAAAUAUUUUUGAGGAAGACAGUUGCACAAUAACUGAAUAAAAAUUUCUGCAACCAGCCAUAAGGAGGUGGUGGUAGUGGUAGUGGUGGUGGUGUUGGGCCAAUUCAACCCCUUCUUGUAAAAGUUGAUC